rnacentral:rRNA from 1 species
GACGAACGCUGGCGGCGUGCCUAAUACAUGCAAGUCGAACGCAGUGGGGACGGGUGAGUAACACGUGGGUAAUCUCCCAUCAGAGGGGAUAACACUUAGCAACAGGUGCUAAACCGAUCCUGAUGGCUGGACCCACGGUGCAUUAGCUAGUUGGUGAGGUAACGGCUCACCCCGGCCACGAUGCAUAGCGGGCCUGAGAGGGUGAUCUGCCACACGUGGACGGAGAAACGGCCCAGACUACUACGGAAGGCAGCAGUAGGGAAGAUUGGGCAAUGGACGAAAGACUGACCGAGCCACGCCGCGUGAGUGAAGAAGGUCUUCGGAUCGUAAAACACUGUUAGUAGAGAAGCGGUACCUAACCAGAAAGCAACGGCUAACUACGUGCCAGCCGCCGCGGUAAUAC